GGCAGUCGCGGCUGAGAUUGAGAUUGGGAUUUCUAAUGAGAAACCAAGAAAUCAUGUGGACUUGCGGCAUCGUUUGGACUCUAAAGGUCAACGUGAAGGAAAAGUCAUCGAUUAUAGAGUUAGCGAUCUGAGAGUUGUUGAGCUUCUGGAUGGUCUCUGUGAGAAAAUGCAGGAUUACACUUUGGAAAAGUUUGAUUCAGGAAAACAAGGAUGGGUCAAAGUUACAGACUGGGACAACCUUAAAAGUGAUAAGCGAGAAGCACGUGCACACUCAAAAUACAUUUCCUCCUUUUGCGGAAGGCUACUGGAAGAAACAGAAGAUGAGCUCGCUGAUUGGAUAAAACGCGGAUCCGGC
rnacentral:misc_RNA from 1 species